rnacentral:rRNA from 1 species
GCGGCGUGCCUAACACAUGCAAGUCGAACGAGAAAGCUCCCUUCGGGGUGGUGAGUAAAGUGGCAGACGGGUGAGUAACACGUGGGUAACCUGCCCGCGGGUGGGGGAUAACCCUCCGAAAGUGAGGGCUAAUACCGCAUGACAUCUCGGGCCCUUCGGUGGCUCGAGAUCAAAGCUUGCCUCUUCUUGAAAGCAAGCGCCUGUGGAGUGGGCCCGCGCCCCAUUAGCUUGUUGGUGAGGUAACGGCUCACCAAGGCAACGAUGGGUAGCCUGGCCUGAGAGGGUGAUCGGCCACACUGGAACUGAGACACGGUCCAGACUCCUACGGGAGGCAGCAGUGAGGAAUUUUUGCGCAAUGGGCGAAAGCCUGACGCAGCGACGCCGCGUGGAGGACGAAGGUCUUCGGAUCGUAAACUCCUGUCAAGCGGGACGAAGUCCGGGUGGAUGAAUAAGUCACUCGGUUGACGGUACCGCUGGAGGAAGCCCCGGCUAACUCCGUGCCAGCAGCCGCGGUAAUACGGAGGGGGCCAGCGUUGUUCGGAAAUUAUUUGGGGCGUAAAGGGCGCGU